UACGUAGGAGGCGAGCGUUGUCCGGAUUUACUGGGCGUAAAGCGCGCGCAGGCGGCACUGUAAGUAAGGUGUGAAAUCUCCCUGCUCAACGGGGAGGGUGCAUUUUAGACUGCAGAGCUAGAGGACGGUAGAGGGGGUGGAAUUGCUGGUGUAGCGGUGAAAUGCGUAGAGAUCAGCAGGAACACCCGUGGCGAAGGCGGCCCCCUGGGCCGAACCUGACGCUGAGGCGCGAAGGGCUAGGGGAGCAAACAGG
rnacentral:rRNA from 1 species